rnacentral:rRNA from 1 species
GUCUAUGGCCAUGCCACCCUGAACAAGCCCAAUGUCUGAUAUCGGAAGCUAAGCAAGGUCGGGCCUGGUUAGUACUUGGAUGGGAAACCGCUUAGGAAGAACAGGUGUUGUAAGCA